UAGGGAAUCUUCCGCAAUGGACGCAAGUCUGACGGAGCAACGCCGCGUGAGUGAAGAAGGAUUUCGGUUCGUAAAACUCUGUUGUUAGAGAAGAACAGCGCAUAGAGUAACUGUUAUGCGUGUGACGGUAUCUAACCAGAAAGCCACGGCUAACUACGUGCCAGCAGCCGCGGUAAUACGUAGGUGGCAAGCGUUGUCCGGAUUUAUUGGGCGUAAAGCGAGCGCAGGCGGUCAAUUAAGUCUGAUGUGAAAGCCCCCGGCUCAACCGGGGAGGGUCAUUGGAAACUGGUUGACUUGAGUGCAGAAGAGGAGAGUGGAAUUCCAUGUGUAGCGGUGAAAUGCGUAGAUAUAUGGAGGAACACCAGUGGCGAAGGCGACUCUCUGGUCUGUAGCUGACGCUGAGGCUCGAAAGCGUGGGUAGCAAACAGG
rnacentral:rRNA from 1 species